UACGCAGGGGGCAAGCGUUGUCCGGAUUUAUUGGGCGUAAAGGGCGUGUAGGCGGCUUCGCAGGUCUGUGGUGAAAGCAUACAGCUCAACUGUAUUGAGCCAUGGAAACGGCGGGGCUUGAGGCUGGGAGGGGCUGGUGGAAUUCCCUGUGUAGCGGUGAAAUGCGUAGAGAUGGGGGAGAACACUCGUGGCGAAGGCGGCCAGCUGGACCAGUUCUGACGCUGAGACGCGAAAGCGUGGGGAGCAAACAGG
rnacentral:rRNA from 1 species